GACGUAGGGGGCGAGCGUUGUCCGGAUUCAUUGGGCGUAAAGCGCGCGUAGGCGGCUGCGCAAGUCGGUUGUGAAACCCCGGGGCUCAACCCCGGAACUGCAUCCGAUACUGCGUGGCUAGAGGUAGGUAGGGGAGAUCGGAAUUCCAGGUGUAGCGGUGAAAUGCGUAGAUAUCGUCCAGAACACCGAUAGCGAAGGCAGCUUACUAAGGAGUAACUGACGCUGAGGCACGAAAGUGUGGGGAUCAAACAGGG
rnacentral:rRNA from 1 species